rnacentral:misc_RNA from 1 species
AAGGCGUGCCACCCCCUCAAGGUGGGGGUUACCAAGGGGCACCGCCUCAGGGUCCGUACGGAGGCACUCCGUAUGGGGCGAGCCCGUUUGCGGCGCUGGUGCCGUCAGCGUUCCCACCAGGGACGGAUCCGAAUGUUGUGGCGUGUUUCCAGGCGGCGGACCAUGAUGGGAGUGGGUUUAUUGAUGAUACUGAGCUGCAGGGGGCGCUGUCGUCGUAUAAUCAGAGCUUCAGCAUGAGGACGGUGCAUUUGCUCAUGUACCUGUUUACGUCGUCGAAUGUUCGCAAGAUUGGCCCGAAGGAAUUCGCCUCGGUUUUUUACAGUUUGCAGAGUUGGAGGGGCAUCUUCGAUAGGGCUGACCGUGAUCGGAGUGGCAAGAUUGAUGCCCCGGAGCUGAGGGACGCACUUAUGAGCCUGGGGUUUGCUGUCUCCCCAGUGGUGUUGGACCUGCUCGUCUCCAAGUUUGACAAGUCUGGAGGAAAAAACAAGGCCAUUGAGUAUGAUGGUUUUAUCGAGUGUUGUCUCAUUGUGAAGGGACUGACAGAGAAGUUCAAGGAGAAGGAUGUGGGGUUCAGGGGGUCGGCGACCUUCACUUAUGAAUCUUUCAUGCUGACUGUUCUUCCUUUCCUCGUUGCAUAGACGAGAGAUAUCUGAGUGGUAUGCUUUUAAGAACAUUCCUGCAUCUUGUGCUCACGUAAUGUGUAGGUUAUACUUUACUUUCCGUGAUGAGUUUCUUUGCAUUGUAGUCCUCCAGUCUUUGUGCAAUUCAUUUCAUGUUCUAAAAAAUGCAAACCUGUGGUAUGUCUUGAGUUCUGUAGCGAAUUGUUGUUUCUGAAAUAAUU